rnacentral:lncRNA from 1 species
CUUUCUUUGUCUCGCCACUCUUGGCCCUUUGGGCAGCUCUCCUCGGCCAGGAGGCCUUCCUUUGGCUCCCUACCUCUUAGCCUCUUUCUUCCUUACUUUUGGCCUUAGGGUCUGCUAUUCUUUAUCACACACAUCCUCCCCGUCCGCCCCCCCCCUCGACCCCCGCGCCCUUCUCCCUCUACUUUUUUGUUCUUUUUAAAAAGUUCUUCUCACCGGGCAUUUCCCUUGAACCCCUUCCCCCUGGUACUUUUUUCUUUGCAGCCUCGUCUUUCACCCCUUAAUCCCCCACUCUCUUUUGUCUUCCCCCAUUCAUCCUUAUCUUCGUUGUCCUCCCUCUCCUCCCCCUACUCCUUGUCUUAAAGCAGCAAGAGAUGAGCUGAGAGUUAUUCAGAAGAAAAAAGGAGAGAGUUUUUGAGGAGUGGCCCGCCUGAAACCUCUGGGAAUGGGACAAAGAGGACAGGCUGGGUUAGUCAUUUGUGUUAAAAGUGGGAAGUGGCGCUCCAGUCUGCUUAACGGUUGGGGGACAUCUGAAGCUUCUAGCAGGUUCCCCCAACAUUGCCAUGGCAGCAUGCUGUUCAGGGAGUCUCCUGGCCACCACUUUUCACUUUAUACAUUGGAUGUAUCUUGCCCCUGCAGCAGGACUUCCGGAUCCUGAAAG